CGGUGAAUACGUUCCCGGACCUUGUACACACCGCCCGUCAAGCCAUGGAAGCUGGGUGUACCUAAAGUCGGUAACCGCAAGGAGCCGCCUAGGGUAAAACUAGUGACUGGGGCU
rnacentral:rRNA from 1 species